UAAGCGGAGGAGAAGAAACUAACCAGGAUUUCCCUAGUAACGGCGAGCGAACCGGAAAGAGCCCAGCUUGAAAAUCGUGGUGCCUCGUGCCUCGAAUUGUAGUCUGGAGACGCAUCCUCUGCAGCGCACCGGACCCAAGUUCCCUGGAAAGGGACGUCGGAGAGGGUGACAACCCCGUCGAGUCUGGACCGUGUUGCUCCACGAGGUGCGGUCGCCGAGUCGGGCUGUUUGGGAAUGCAGCCCUAAGUGGGUGGUAAAUUCCAUCCAAGGCUAAAUAUGGGCAAGAGACCGAUAGCGAACAAGUACCGCGAGGGAAAGAUGAAAAGGACUUUGAAAAGAGAGUUAAAAAGUGCUUGAAAUUGCUGGGAGGGAAGCGAAUGGAAGCUGCGGGUGUGCCCCGGUUGGAUGUGGAACGGCUCGCGCUGGUCCGCCGCUCAACGCGGGGCACUGGUCAGCGUGGGCCACCGCGGCGGGACAAGAGUAGGGUGUAGCUCCCUGCCUAUGCCGUUGUGGUGGCCGAGGAACGAAGCGUGCGGGGCCCGCCCCGUGGGACCCGUCCCAACUGCGCGCUCGGGACGCUGGCGUAUUGAGCUCUUCAUCCGACCCGUCUUGAAACACGGACCAAGGAGUCUAACAUGUAUGCGAGCCGGUGGGCGGCAAACCCAUUGAGGCGCAAGGAAACUGACAGGUGGGACCCCCCUUACCAAGGGAGCACCAUCGACCGACCGUGAUCUUCUGUGAAAGGUUCGAGUGUGAGCAUACCUGUUGGGACCCGAAAGAUGGUGAACUAUGCCUGAGCAGGGCGAAGCCAGAGGAAACUCUGGUGGAGGCUCGUAGCGAUACUGACGUGCAAAUCGUUCGUCAGACUUGGGUAUAGGGGCGAAAGACUAAUCGAACCAUCUAGUAGCUGGUUCCCUCCGAAGUUUCCCUCAGGAUAGCUGGAGCUCGUGUAAAAGUUUUAUCAGGUAAAGCGAAUGAUUAGAGGCAUCGGGGGUGUAACACCCUCGACCUAUUCUCAAACUUUAAAUAGGUAAGCCGCCGGGGUUGCUUGGUUGAACCCCGGCACAGAAUGAGAGCUCCAAGUGGGCCAU
rnacentral:rRNA from 1 species